UCCCUGGAGGUCUAUUGGUUAGGCCCCCGGCGUUCUCACCGCCGCGGCCCGGGUUCGAUUCUCAGCCAGGGAA
rnacentral:tRNA from 1 species